GCCUGGCGCAGUGGCACAUGCCUGUAAUCCUAGCUGCUCAGGAGGCUGAGACAGGAGGAUCACUAGUUCAAAGCCAGCCUCAGCAAUAGCAAGGCGCUGAGUAACUCAGUGAGACCCUGUCUCUA
rnacentral:sRNA from 1 species